rnacentral:rRNA from 1 species
GAAGCUGCGGCAGCGACACUGUGUGUUGUUGGGUAGGGGAGCGUUCUGUAAGCCUGCGAAGGUGGCCUGUGAGGGUUGCUGGAGGUAUCAGAAGUGCGAAUGCUGACAUAAGUAACGAUAAAGCGGGUGAAAAGCCCGCUCGCCGGAAGACCAAGGGUUCCUGUCCAACGUUAAUCGGGGCAGGGUGAGUCGACCCCUAAGGCGAGGCCGAAAGGCGUAGUCGAUGGGAAACGGGUUAAUAUUCCCGUACUUGGUGUUACUGCGAAGGGGGGACGGAGAAGGCUAUGUUGGCCGGGCGACGGUUGUCCCGGUUUAAGCGUGUAGGUGUGUGUUCCAGGUAAAUCCGGUUCACUUUAACACUGAGGCGUGACGACGAGGCACUACGGUGCUGAAGCAACAAAUGCCCUGCUUCCAGGAAAAGCCUCUAAGCAUCAGGUAACAUCAAAUCGUACCCCAAACCGACACAGGUGGUCAGGUAGAGAAUACCAAGGCGCUUGAGAGAACUCGGGUGAAGGAACUAGGCAAAAUGGUGCCGUAACUUCGGGAGAAGGCACGCUGACACGUAGGUGAAGUGAUUUACUCAUGGAGCUGAAGUCAGUCGAAGAUACCAGCUGGCUGCAACUGUUUAUUAAAAACACAGCACUGUGCAAACACGAAAGUGGACGUAUACGGUGUGACGCCUGCCCGGUGCCGGAAGGUUAAUUGAUGGGGUCAGCGCAAGCGAAGCUCCUGAUCGAAGCCCCGGUAAACGGCGGCCGUAACUAUAACGGUCCUAAGGUAGCGAAAUUCCUUGUCGGGUAAGUUCCGACCUGCACGAAUGGCGUAAUGAUGGCCAGGCUGUCUCCACCCGAGACUCAGUGAAAUUGAACUCGCUGUGAAGAUGCAGUGUACCCGCGGCAAGACGGAAAGACCCCGUGAACCUUUACUAUAGCUUGACACU